rnacentral:rRNA from 1 species
AUUGAACGCUGGCGGCAGGCCUAACACAUGCAAGUCGAGCGGAUGAAGGGAGCUUGCUCCUGGAUUCAGCGGCGGACGGGUGAGUAAUGCCUAGGAAUCUGCCUGGUAGUGGGGGAUAACGUCCGGAAACGGGCGCUAAUACCGCAUACGUCCUGAGGGAGAAAGUGGGGGAUCUUAGGACAUCACGCUAUCAGAUGAGCCUAGGUCGGAUUAGCUAGUUGGUGGGGUAAAGGCCUACCAAGGCGACGAUCCGUAACUGGUCUGAGAGGAUGAUCAGUCACACUGGAACUGAGACACGGUCCAGACUCCUACGGGAGGCAGCAGUAGGGAAUAUUGGACAAUGGGCGAAAGCCUGAUCCAGCCAUGCCGCGUGUGUGAAGAAGGUCUUCGGAUUGUAAAGCACUUUAAGUUGGGAGGAAGGGCAGUAAGUUAAUACCUUGCUGUUUUGACGUUACCAACAGAAUAAGCACCGGCUAACUUCGUG